CAAAAGAAUAUGGACAGAUUUCUUAAAAGAAAAGCUCCAGAUGCUUCUGGACCAUGAACUUCAUCCUCAGGUAGCUAAAGCCUUUCGCCUCCACUGACUGCGCGCGCACCUCCACAAACGAACGAUGCGUUUAUACUUCACUUCAAAGAAUCAUAUACGAAUCAUAUAAAACCCAUUAACCCUUGAGAUCAUCACUUCAGACAUUACAGCACAGCUAUAACCACGAGAACAUGAUUAAAACGAAAUGGAUCAACCUCAAUUUAUUUUAUUUUAUUCGUUUCAUUAAGAUUUUUUUAAACAUGGACCUUCACUCGCAUUAAAUAGACUUAUUAUUAUUGAGCUAUCAUAGGCUCAUUUUGUAAAUGUUAGCAAUAACUGUAAACAAAAAGUGGGAGCUUCCUGCAGAUGUCAUUUCUCACGUUUACAAAAUCAGGUGUCAUUAUGUUCGCCCAUCAGUGUAAACGUCUCUACGUAUAAAGACAGAAGAAUGAGGUUUAAUCACUGUCUGAUGGAGUAGUGUAGUGACUGUGUUUAUUUGUGAAGAUUGAAAACAUGGUGCACUCCAGAAAACUUUCCGCUUUGGCUUUAUUCUUUCAGCAGUAUGUACAAAGCAAAUCGAAAUGACUAUUUUUAAAAAAGCUUUCCAUGUUUUUUUUUUGCCAUCUGGAUAUCUCUAUGGUCCCUCAUAGAUGAAUCAUAACGAUGCCUGUACAAUCGGACCUUUCAGCAAGAGUCAACUCCAAGUCACUCACUUCAUAGCCGUGCGAACUGGCACGGAACGCCUGCACUCCAGCUCGACCUGCCCACCGCAGUGACGUCAAUUUAUCCGCACUGUGACUUGCGCUAUUGCGGACGCGUCGAGUAAUAGCCCAGGUUUAACGCUAACGGUUUCUUUCAAAAUGUUCAAACGGUGCUGUGACUGAAAAAGGCUGGGAAACACUGUUCUAUGACAGGCUUUUUGCUUCUCUUUUCUUUGCUCGGCGGUAAUCAGCGCUACAGUAGCUACAGAAAUGUCUCCAGCCGGCUGUUUUAUUUGGCUCUUUAUUCUUUUACUCCUGGGACGCCGCGGCGUUCUAACUUUGCAGAAUUGCUCUGAGCUGCACAACAUCACCUGUGAUCGCAUGGGUAAUGCCAUGUUGAACACUAGUGAGAUUUACCUGAUGAGGAACGACUGCAUGUGGAGUUUUAGAGACACGGAGGAUAAAGUUCUUGAACUACUAACACCAUCUCCAAAUGUGUCUGUCCAAUGUACCUUGCAUGAAAUUCGCUUGAAGGUGCACUGUAUCACCCCAAAGUAUGAGUAUUGGGCUUGCUACAAUCUUACUAAUCAAACUAACAGUCAAACCGGUGCGCCAAGUCCUCAUGGAACAUCCAAGCAUAGAGUGCGUGAGUUGGUGAUCAUAGCUGUGGCUCUGUUUCUGAUGGCGCUGGUUGGUCUUGUCAUUGUUUCAAAAAAGGACAAAAAGGCUACUGUCCAUGUUGGAAGAUAUCCCGUGGUCCUGGAAGGGGCAACGAAAGCAACGAAAACAACUAAGACGAUUGCUGAAAUCCCUGGAAUUGAGUUAAGAACUGUUCAUGUUCAGUGCUACUUCAAAGAAAUAUGUUUAACUCUUGGUUAGUGAUCAUUGUGAAAUAUAGGGCUACUUAAUAGACGUAAGAUUAGUUUCAUAAUAGUAAUAUUAGAUAACAAAAUACAUUAUUAUUAUUAUUAUUAUUAUUAUGAUUAUGAUUAUUAUUAUUAUUAUUAUUAUUAUUAUUAUCCAUCCAUCUUCUAUACCGCUUAUCCUUUUCAGGGUCACGGGGAACUUGGAGCCUAUCCCAGCGAGCAUGAGGCACAAGGCGGGGUACACCCUGGACAGGGUGCCAAUUCAUCGCAGGGCACAAUCACACACAAUCAAGCUGUCUUGAUUGUUUUAUUUUCUUUGUCACACUGUUCUUCUGUUUCUGCUUGCAUAUUUUACAAAUAUGAAUUGAUAUCUUUUGAAAAAAAAUAUGUUUAAAUAGCAUUUAUGUUUCUGUAUUGUGUUAUAUUUUUAUGCUAGUAACUGGUGUUAAAAAUUGGUCCGACCCUCAAUGAGCCGGUGUGUUAUGAUGUGGCGUGUUGUGGGCCGGGUGUGGAGGUCCACUCUGGUGGACCACUUUUUUUGGUCCCAGUCCACCCCUGAUUAUUGCUAUAAUGCUAAAUAAAAUGUGCUGAAAUUUUAAAUAUCGACGUUCAAACACCCCAAUGAGGGCCCCAUUUCCUACAUUUUGCCUAGGGCACCCAAAUCACUAAAUCCGCCCUUGGCUAUGUUUAAAUAGUGAAAGUAAGAACAUUUCCACAUGCACAACGCGGUGAUAACUUGAAGGAUACACAGCUAUGUGGCCUAAUGAGUGUGAGGUUAAUCAGAUAAAAACGACUUCAGUUUGCUAGAGAGCAUAAAGAUUGGACUGUGGAGCAAAGGAAAAAGGUCAUGUGGCCUGAUGAGUCCAGAUUUACCCUACAAAGCCAUGGGUACAUCAGGGUAAGAAGGGAAGCACAUGAAGCGAUGCACCCAUCAUUCACAAUCCCUGCUACAAGCCUGCUACACAUGAAUUAGCCACCACAGAGUCCUGACCUUAACCGCAUUGAAAGUCUUUAUAAUAAUGUAUUAAACGUUAUAUGAUUUUUAAAUGAUGUAACUCUGGAUGGAAAUAAAUGUUGUCACGUUGUAAAGGUUGUCGAAACAAUGCCAUGAUGAAUGCGC
ensembl:lncRNA